UUUUAUUCUGAUGCUCUGAAAUUUCCUUCGCGUUUUGUUGCUUUUAUUUAUUGACUCGUUAACGAAAAAAAUUUGGGUUCAGAGCAUCUGCAGGAAAGUUCACAUCUGGAUGGAGAUUCAGUCUUUUGUUCUUGUUUCCUAUGCUUUACUGUUUCUGGUGGGGUACAGUAGUUCGCGUCUACUUUUGGAAAAAUUCCAAUUUGGAUGACUAUACUAGAGCUAUGAUCUAUGAAACUCUCAAUAUAUCAAUCGAAAACAUCAGCUACGUUGGUUUGAGAUUGUAUAACUUUGAUCAGAAUGGAGCAAUGACAUUCAAUAAAGAUGCAUGGAUUGCUGCCAGUCAUAUGAGGUUCAUGGUGCUCUCAAAAUGGUUGACUGGCUUCUGAUCGAUCAAACAAUUGCUCAGCUUGGCUUUUACACGACCACAACAUCCCAACUUACUCUGAUAUUUCUGACGUUGUUCUUUGUGAGAAAGGAUUUAGGUCCAUACAAGUACCUGAUCAUCUUGUUCUCCGUGUUUGGAAUUGCGUUUGCAAGUUUCGAGUUUGUGUUAUAUCCGGUCCUCCACUCCUACAACUCUGGUUACAUAUUCUUCACCUCAAGCCGCCCCCUGAACGCUUCAAAUGAAGUCAUGAAGAUCAUGCUGGUGCUGUACACCGCCAUGUACUCUACCACGAUCUCCCUUCUGGCCGUUCAAUUUCUCUACCGAUACUUUGCGAUUUUUCACGAGUACUACCUGAAGUACUUCAAAGGCUGGUACUUCCUAAUUUGGAUCGUCUACGCUGGAUGGUUCGGAUGUCAGUAUGCGAUUGGGUUUCUGGUGUUCAACGCGGUGGAUGAGUACUCGGAAGAGUACAUGCGACAAGAAAUGCAUGACGUGUACGGGCUCAAUGUAGCGGAAGUUCCAUGUGUGAUUCAUGUGAUCCAUCAAUCCAUUCCCAACUCAACCCAUUCCGUUAUUCGCUGGCGAAACGUCUUUUGCACAUUCAACGUCACAUUCAUAAUGGUUGUUCAGUACGGAAUUAUGAUAUUCUGUGGAUAUCAGCUGUAUAACGAGAUGGAGGAGAAACUGAGCAUGCUGUCAAAACAGAUGAGAAGACUUCAUCGACAAAUAUUCAAGACUCUCAUGUUACAGAUAACCACGCCAACAAUUGUCCUGUUCUCUCCCAUCGUUUUUGUGAUCUACCUUCCGUGGCUCGAUUUGGAGCUCAGUGUUCCCACAGGAGUCUUCUUGUCUGGAUUCACAUUGUAUCCAGCGCUUGAUGCAUUCAUCCUGAUGUACGUCGUCACAGACUAUCGGCGAGCGUUCAAAACUGCGUUCCAAAUCUACAAACCAUCCGGAGCGUCGUCACAGCAAUAA